rnacentral:rRNA from 2 species
CUGGUAUUGAUUGGUGCUUGCAUCAUGAUUUACAUUUGAGUGAGUGGCGAACUGGUGAGUAACACGUGGGAAACCUGCCCAGAAGCGGGGGAUAACACCUGGAAACAGAUGCUAAUACCGCAUAACAACUUGGACCGCAUGGUCCGAGCUUGAAAGAUGGCUUCGGCUAUCACUUUUGGAUGGUCCCGCGGCGUAUUAGCUAGAUGGUGGGGUAACGGCUCACCAUGGCAAUGAUACGUAGCCGACCUGAGAGGGUAAUCGGCCACAUUGGGACUGAGACACGGCCCAAACUCCUACGGGAGGCAGCAGUAGGGAAUCUUCCACAAUGGACGAAAGUCUGAUGGAGCAACGCCGCGUGAGUGAAGAAGGGUUUCGGCUCGUAAAACUCUGUUGUUAAAGAAGAACAUAUCUGAGAGUAACUGUUCAGGUAUUGACGGUAUUUAACCAGAAAGCCACGGCUAACUACGUGCCAGCAGCCGCGGUAAUACGUAGGUGGCAAGCGUUGUCCGGAUUUAUUGGGCGUAAAGCGAGCGCAGGCGGUUUUUUAAGUCUGAUGUGAAAGCCUUCGGCUCAACCGAAGAAGUGCAUCGGAAACUGGGAAACUUGAGUGCAGAAGAGGACAGUGGAACUCCAUGUGUAGCGGUGAAAUGCGUAGAUAUAUGGAAGAACACCAGUGGCGAAGGCGGCUGUCUGGUCUGUAACUGACGCUGAGGCUCGAAAGUAUGGGUAGCAAACAGGAUUAGAUACCCUGGUAGUCCAUACCGUAAACGAUGAAUGCUAAGUGUUGGAGGGUUUCCGCCCUUCAGUGCUGCAGCUAACGCAUUAAGCAUUCCGCCUGGGGAGUACGGCCGCAAGGCUGAAACUCAAAGGAAUUGACGGGGGCCCGCACAAGCGGUGGAGCAUGUGGUUUAAUUCGAAGCUACGCGAAGAACCUUACCAGGUCUUGACAUACUAUGCAAAUCUAAGAGAUUAGACGUUCCCUUCGGGGACAUGGAUACAGGUGGUGCAUGGUUGUCGUCAGCUCGUGUCGUGAGAUGUUGGGUUAAGUCCCGCAACGAGCGCAACCCUUAUUAUCAGUUGCCAGCAUUAAGUUGGGCACUCUGGUGAGACUGCCGGUGACAAACCGGAGGAAGGUGGGGAUGACGUCAAAUCAUCAUGCCCCUUAUGACCUGGGCUACACACGUGCUACAAUGGAUGGUACAACGAGUUGCGAACUCGCGAGAGUAAGCUAAUCUCUUAAAGCCAUUCUCAGUUCGGAUUGUAGGCUGCAACUCGCCUACAUGAAGUCGGAAUCGCUAGUAAUCGCGGAUCAGCAUGCCGCGGUGAAUACGUUCCCGGGCCUUGUACACACCGCCCGUCACACCAUGAGAGUUUGUAACACCCAAAGUCGGUGGGGUAACCUUUUAGGAACCAGCCGC